UACGUAGGGGGCAAGCGUUGUCCGGAAUUAUUGGGCGUAAAGCGCGUGUAGGCGGCUCGGUAAGUCUGCUGUGAAAGUCCAAGGCUCAACCUUGGAAAGCCGGUGGAUACUGUCGAGCUCGAGUCCGGAAGAGGCGAGUGGAAUUCCUGGUGUAGCGGUGAAAUGCGCAGAUAUCAGGAGGAACACCAAUGGCGAAGGCAGCUCGCUGGGACGGUACUGACGCUGAGACGCGAAAGCGUGGGGAGCGAACAGG
rnacentral:rRNA from 1 species